rnacentral:lncRNA from 1 species
GGUGGCCAUUCUGACCUCAUCGUGUUUUCUGUUGACAAAAGAGAGAAGAUUUGCAUUAGAGAUCAUGACCUCCAGGAGCCAGAGGGAAGUACUGAGUGUACAUAACACCCUAUUUCAAUGUCUUUUGGGAGAGAGGAGCAGAAAAGCAGGUGAACCAAAGUGUCAUCUAUCCAGUAUCUGGUGGUGGCUAACGUGAAGCCUUGGGAAGAGUCCACUGCAUUCCUGUCCACCUCUGCAGCUUGGUGUGGAUCACCUAGAGAUGACUGAAGAUACUUUGUGCCCUCCUUGCUGCUCCAACCUCUGCAAUUGUACUGCUUUUUUAAGGUAACAUAACUUGACCAUCAUGCUGUCUGCUUACCUACAAGUAUUAGCCAAAACCGGUUAAAAAAAUACACCAACAAACUGCUUUCGUGUUCUCGGAUUCACGAAUUAUGGCCUUUGCAUUGCAUUCAUG